CAGCAUUGCAUUUUGUUUCUAAGUCUUAGAGCACUUAAUACAUAAGUGUAGCAGUUUCUCAUGCUCCUUGUAUAUCUUCUGAUAGGCAAUUUGAUUUCAAGCCCUUGUGUCCCAGUUAGACUGUAAGGGUCCUGGGGCUAGGAACCAGACCAGGUGGUACUGUUAUCUGCCCCUGUGCUUUGCAGAUUUCGACGUGAAUCUUGUUAAAUGCACAUUAGGUUCAGUAGGCCAGGGUGGUGCCCGGGAGACUAGCUUUCUAACGAGCUCCCAGGUGAUGGUGGUAGUGAUAAAAAUGUUGGCUUAUGGACAUUUGGAAAAGCAGUGCUCAUAGCUUUUGGUACUCAGCACAGCUGUUACUCAAGAAUGCUGGGGGUGCUUCUGGAGCCACUGAGUCGGCCCUUGGUGCUUUGAAACUUACAUUGCAGUGAUGCUGUUCUUUUCAGGGACACUGAUUACUCACAGUAAAAUGUCUACAAAUCUUUGAAUGUAGAUAGAACAUGGUGAGUCUAAAAUAUACUUUGGGGCCAGGCGCACAGAUCACUUAAAGCUUAAAGUCAGGAGUUUGAGACUAUCCUGGCCAACAUGGCAAAACCCCGUGUCUACUAAAAAUACAAAAAUUAGCCACGCAUGCACCUGUAGCUACUAGGGAGCCAGGAGAAUCGCUUGAACCUGGGAGGCAGAGGUUGCAGUGAGCCGAGAUCAUGCCACUGCACUCCAGCCUGGGCAACAGAACAAGACUCUGUCUCAAAACAAAACAUACUCUGGGGGUCUUUUCUGGGAAGCAGUGUUAGGAAUAUCAUAAUUUUGAUGUAAGAACCUUCAGCUAAAAACAUAGUUCCAGUUCCCCAUGUAUCUAGAAAUAAGGCAUAAAUACAGCAUUCAGAUGUAUCCUUGUGGAAAUGAUGACAUGGACAAAAGCAACACAUGUGGGACCACAGACUCAUGGGCAGUAGGAACAAAACUCCCCUUACGGUACCUCUAUUCAUCAGUACUUUGGUGAGGUGGAGACUCAGACCCAUCCAGAAUGGGUGAGUUUUCUGUUGCUUCUCUGAACAAAGGAAAGCAGGAGGAGGAAGAGAAGAGAGGUCAUGUUACAGAGAGACACUGACACAGACACAGACACGAUUAGUAGCUUAUUAAUAUAUCCGAAAGGCUUGCUGAUUAGACACCUGAGUUAGCAACAGAUCAUACAAGUCAUGCAGUACUUUCAGUCCCCAUAAUUGAGUCAAAAUACCUAGUUUGUUAGGAGGGACGGGCCCUCUUUUACCCAUGGCCUCAUUUUGUAUCACAUCAUAGCAAACAGUUUAUGCCAAGAACCAAAAUUGCUGUUUUUCAAAUUUGGCUUGAGUCCUCACUAGUUGUAGGUGGUGAAAUAGGCAGGUUUCAAGACCAUCUUAAGUGCAUAGGACCCUGAGGAGGGCUUGUACAUUUCGGAGCCUGUUGACAGCCAAAUAAUACAAUCAAUCAUAUAUUUGGAUCAGGUGAGACUGGGCAUGAUUCAGAAAAGUUGGAAGAUCUAGAGAGGGAUCUUGCAAUCUGAAGUUUCUUGUUUAGUCACUGGAGGUAUGUAUUACAUAUAUGAAAGAUGUGUCAUUCUUUUAUGAGUUAAUCUUAGACCCCAAACCUUGCAGAGGCUGCCUGGCCAAACAGGUGAGAGCUGGGGUGUGGGUGGGUGAGUGUUAAUGAUCUAAAGGACAAAGGGGCAGCUACUGUCCAACAGACAGCCCAAGAAGUAGGAGCAGACACAGGAACACCGAGCUGGGGCUCCAGUUUCUCUUAUUUUAAAAGGAAUCAGAGGCAGCAGGGGAUCGUUCAGUGGUUGUCAAAACUUGAGUGUGGGUCAGCAUCACCUGGAGGGCUUAUCAGAAUGCAGCCUGCUGGGCUCACCCCCAGAGUUUUGGAUUUUUUUUGUGUUACAGGUAAGCCCGAGAAUUUGCAUUUCUGACAAGAUCCCAGGUGAGGCUCACUCGUGCUGCUGGCUUUGGGAUCACACUUAACUACCGGUAUAGUGGGGAAAGACAGGGUUUGGGGUCACAGAGGGCAGAGCUGGAAUUCCAGCUCCCUCCAGCUGUCAGACUUUGGGCCAGGCACUUAGUUCCUCUGAGCCUCAUCUAUGAAACGAAAACAUCUGGGUAUUUCCCCCGCAAGGGGAUGAUGAGGAUUGUAUGAGCUCAUGUGUGUUAGAAGCUGCUCGCAGCCUUUGAGUACACAGCAAGCACUCAGUAAGUGUUAGGACCCUUUCUUGCCAAAAAUGAAGGCUCCAGAAAACCUGGUGUAAAAAAAUUACCACAGAUAAACCUGCAGGAACAAAAAUGCCGACCAGGUGCCUGUAAUCCUAGCACUUUGGGAAGCUGAGGUGGGUGGAUCACCUGAGGUCAGGAGUUCGAGACCAGCCUGGCCAACGUGGUGAAACCCUGUCUCUACUAGAGAUUAGCCAGGUGUAGUGAUGCACACUAGUAAUCCCGGCUACUAGGAAGGCUGAGGCAGGAGAAUCACUUGAACCAUGGAGGUUGCAGUGAGCUGAUAUCGCACCACUGCAGUCUGGGCAACAGAGUGAGACUCCGUCUCAAAAAAAGGCCAAGUAUGAGAGCCUGAAAGGCAGACAAUACAGCCAAUUCUGGAAUUGUGCUUUUCUCAUGAUUCAACUCACAGCCAGUUGUCAGGUUUUCCCAGACAUCCCCCUGAUGCUCCACCAAACCAGGAACCAGACAAACCGAGGAAGGGGCCUCCUUAACUCCUCUAACCAACAGAUGAGAUGUUGACAGAACCUAACAUCUACUUAGAGAUGAUGUCUCAGGGGCAACAGAAGAGGCAGGUGCUGUAGGGCCAGGCGGGUUACCUGUGUCUGCCAGACCCUCCAGUAGUUCAGAAUAGCCUCACUGGCGCCGAGAUGAUAAUGCUGUAUGCAAACAUGUCAAGCUAUCAAAGGGAGCUGCCUUUCGGUUUCAUUAAUUUUGUUGUGUGCAGCUUCCACUGAAGGCUUCAGGGCACCUGAUCUCUUUUGUGUGUUGAGAAAGAGCAAGUGCUUGGCCAGGACACAGCCCUUUUUCUUGCACCCUGAGACAUCCUAAGACACUGGCUGUUUCACCUGCCCCAGUGUAUUUGCUGUCUUCAUCAGCUCUCUUUCUCCCCCUGACAUUCUUGCCUGGCAUUUUGAGUCAGCCUGAGUAUAAUCCAAACCGAAAUGAAAUGCUGUCUGGAAAUCUUACCAAAGAAGCACAGUCCCACUUCGUGCUUCCAUCUCCCCACAUCCCAAGGACCACCGCCUACUUUAAGAGAACACAGACAAUUCACCUCUAUAAAGGCACAGCCAGGAAAAGGAGUAGGCAGAGGUGACAGCAGAUCAUGGGGCUUCUCUUGAAAGGAAGACACCUCCCAGUGAUGAACCCUCAUCAUCCAUUUACUGACAUAUCCUUAUGUCACCAGGAUCUGAACGUCUAUGACACUCUUUCGAGCUGACACAGUGAAGAACAUAGAAGGAGAACUCACCCAGUCUGCCAGGGUCACAGAAUGAUCAUACUCAAGAUCUUCCUGGGGAGUCAAUGGCAAAUUUCACUGGGCUAUUUUACAGAUGAAGAAGGAACAUAAAGAAGGUUCUGGGACCCCGAAGUCCACGGAACACCCACCAUUACCUGAUCUUUGGAGCUUGUCAUUUGGCCAGUGGACCCUAAUAAACGUCCACGGGGAUGUGGGGAUAGAAUGCCAGAGCCUGGCUCGCUAGGGCAUCCAGGUUCUUCCUUCCUCUUUGCCCUGCUGUCUCCAGGCACCAAGAAUCUCCUACAGUUCCCCAAAGAUGAACCCCCCAUUAUCUCAGGUCACUCUGUUUCCCCCGAUCUUUACCAAAUUCCUGACUCAGAGUUCCUCCCAUUUGCUUCUGACUCUCAUUUUAUUCUUACCUCUCAUUUUAUUCUUAUGAUGUUUACCAUUUCUCUUCUCCUCAGUGUCCCUCUCUGAGUGGUAAGAGUAUGUUAAUAAGCCAGUGCUGAGACCGGAGCACGAGGCAACUGCUCAAUGUUGGUCAUUGUCACUGUUAUUAAAUGUAACUUAAGGGAA
rnacentral:lncRNA from 1 species